rnacentral:rRNA from 1 species
GUAGGGUGCAAGCGUUAUCCGGAAUCAUUGGGCGUAAAGAGCUCGUAGGCGGUUCAGCAAGUCCGGCUGUGAAAUUCCGAGGGCUCAACCUCGGAACUGCAGUCGAUACUGCUGUGACUCGAGUCCGGUAGAGGAGAAUGGAAUUCCCGGUGUAGCGGUGAAAUGCGCAGAUAUCGGGAGGAACACCAGUAGCGAAGGCGGUUCUCUGGGCCGGCACUGACGCUGAGGAGCGAAAGCGUGGGUAGCAAACAGGAUUAGAUACCCUGGUAGUCCACGCCGUAAACGUUGGAUUACUAGGUGUGGGGUUCCGAUCAACGGUCCCCGUGCCGAAGCUAACGCAUUAAGUAUCCCGCCUGGGGAGUACGGCCGCAAAGGCUAA